rnacentral:rRNA from 1 species
UACGUAGGGGGCAAGCGUUGUCCGGAAUCAUUGGGCGUAAAGCGCGUGUAGGCGGCCCGAUAAGUCCGCUGUGAAAGUCCAGGGCUCAACCCUGGGAUGCCGGUGGAUACUGUCGGGCUUGAGUACGGAAGAGGCGAGUGGAAUUCCUGGUGUAGCGGUGAAAUGCGCAGAUAUCAGGAGGAACACCAAUUGCGAAGGCAGCUCGCUGGGACGUUACUGACGCUGAGACGCGAAAGCGUGGGGAGCAAACAGG